CACCUUCCUUCACUCCGUCCCCCGGCCCCAAAGAAGCACCAACGCCCACUACGGUGGCUUCCGUGGGACAUAAACCCCAGGCCUCCGACAGGGCUGGAACCUGACAGAACUACUCCGGAGGCUUGUUUUUGUUAACAUGGUAGUACCUGCACUUUGCUCUAGACCAGACCAGAGCAGACUACCCUCCUGAAGUCCUUUUUUUUGUGGGUCUUGGCCUGUACCAGCAACCUCUGCUCAUCUUAAACUUUGUUUUUAUGAGACAUGUUGAUCACAAGCCAGCACAGUGACAUGACAGAGGAAGACUUCAGUUAUCUGAAUGGACAGCUGCUGAAGGGAGGAUUCCCUCUUCCAGAAGUGGAGCAGGACACACAUCAGACUAUAUCCAGUUUUGUUGUCUAUCACAGAAGUAUCAGUUACAUGUUCCCUCAAGGUGGACAUCAUUUCCCGUUCAUCAGUUGUGGACUUCUGCCUGGGUACUUUCCUGUCUAAGGCCAUGAUGCUUCUGUGACAAGUUGGAGCUAUAUAAAGAAGGGAUAAUCAUAACCAUGGUGAGGAAAAGUCUGGAGACCAUGUCAAUUGAGGAAUGGGAUAUUUAGCCUGGAGAAGAGACUUGAAGAGAUAUAAUAGCUGUCUAAGUAUAUGAAGGCCUGUCUUUCUAAGAUGGAUUAAACUUGAUGUUCUCUUUGGCUUCAGAA